rnacentral:rRNA from 1 species
AACGAACGCUGGCGGCAUGCCUAACACAUGCAAGUCGAACGAGACCUUCGGGUCUAUUUGCGCACGUGUGCGUAACGCGUGGGAACCUGCCCUUAGGUUCGGAAUAACUCCCCGAAAGAGGUGCUAAUACCGGAUAAUGUCUUCGCACCAAAGAUUUAUCGCCUUUGGAUGGGCCCUCGUUGGAUUAGCUAGUUGGUAGGGUAAAAGCCUACCAAGGCGACGAUCCAUAGCUGGUCUGAGAGGAUGAUCAGCCACGCUGGGACUGAGACACGGCCCAGACUCCUACGGGAGGCAGCAGUGGGGAACAUUGGACAAUGGACGAAAGCCUGAUCAAGCCAUGCCGCGUGAGUGAUGAAGGCGUUAGGGUUGUAAAGCUCUGUUACACGGGAUGAUAAUGACAGUACCGGGAGAAUAAGCUCCGGCUAACUCCGUG